rnacentral:rRNA from 1 species
AUUGAACGCUGGCGGAAUGCUUUACACAUGCAAGUCGAACGGCAGCACGGACUUCGGUCUGGUGGCGAGUGGCGAACGGGUGAGUAACAUAUCGGAACGUAUCCAAUAAUGGGGGAUAACUAAUCGAAAGGUUGGCUAAUACCGCAUACGCCCUACGGGGGAAAGCUAGGGACCUUCGGGCCUGGCGUUAAUGGAGCGGCCGAUAUCUGAUUAGCUAGUUGGUGGGGUAAAGGCCCACCAAGGCGACGAUCAGUAGCUGGUCUGAGAGGACGACCAGCCACACUGGAACUGAGACACGGUCCAGACUCCUACGGGAGGCAGCAGUGGGGAAUUUUGGACAAUGGGCGCAAGCCUGAUCCAGCCAUUCCGCGUGAGUGAGGAAGGCCUUCGGGUUGUAAAGCUCUUUCGCAAGGGAAGAAAACUUACCCUCUAACAUAGGGUGAGGUUGACGGUACCUUGAUAAGAAGCACCGGCUAACUACGUGCCAGCCGCCGCUGUAA